rnacentral:rRNA from 1 species
AACGAACGCUGGCGGCAUGCCUAACACAUGCAAGUCGAACGAGACCUUCGGGUCUAGUGGCGCACGGGUGCGUAACGCGUGGGAAUCUGCCCUUGGGUUCGGAAUAACAGUUGGAAACGACUGCUAAUACCGGAUGAUGACGUAAGUCCAAAGAUUUAUCGCCCAGGGAUGAGCCCGCGUAGGAUUAGCUAGUUGGUGGGGUAAAGGCCUACCAAGGCGACGAUCCUUAGCUGGUCUGAGAGGAUGAUCAGCCACACUGGGACUGAGACACGGCCCAGACUCCUACGGGAGGCAGCAGUGGGGAAUAUUGGACGAUGGGCGAAAGCCUGAUCCAGCAAUGCCGCGUGAGUGAUGAAGGCCUUAGGGUUGUAAAGCUCUUUUACCCGGGAUGAUAAUGACAGUACCGGGAGAAUAAGCCCCGGCUAACUCCGUG